rnacentral:lncRNA from 1 species
GCAGGUGCAGGUGUCCUGCAAAGGAGACCAUCUUGUAUGUCUUUGUCUCUCUCAGCGGCUGUCCGCUCUGAGGAUUCUGAGUGAAGAGAAGCUGCUGCUUUCUGGCUUUGGCUGCUGAACAAAAAACCAAAGAUACCUUUUUGGACUCCCACUGUUUAUGUCAAAAGCCUUGUAGCACAAGCCUCAGGAGUGAAAAUCCUGCAAGGUAUCUUCAGAAAAGCAAAAUAAUAAGGAACGUGACUUCCAAUAUAAUAAUAGGUGUUCACAAAGCUCUACAGCAGACCAGAAUUCUGUCCCAAUGAAGUUAGAGAAUAGUCACGAGUGGAUACAGUACCUCCAUAAACAAAUACUGUGAAGGGAAUAUAAUGGGGUUCUGUCAUUGUAAGUAGAAUACCUAGUGGACCAAGUUUGUUUUCCAAGAGUAAAGCACUUGAGUCAGGGUGGAUUGAUUUUAAAUCAAUGCAGUUUGAUUAAAUCACCAAUUUUAAUGCUGAUUUGAAUCAGUAUGCAAGAAUUGUUUAGUUUUUUGGAUUUAUACUUUUCAGUUAUUUUCUGAACAAAGGUUGAUUCUUAUUAGUUGAUGAUACGUGUUGAUUUGCAACUAAACAUAUUCUUACCCUAAAUCCGGGGCGUCUUUUUGCUAAUCAGGGUAUACUAUGUCUAUAUACAUUUAUUUAAAACCUUAUAUAGCGUAUGUUGCAUGUAUUCAGAUUCUUAAUUUUGACAUUUUUAAUAUUAGAAAAUGAUGAAUGAUACAUUUCUUAAAUU